rnacentral:rRNA from 1 species
CCUACGGGAGGCAGCAGUGGGGAAUUUUGGACAAUGGGGGCAACCCUGAUCCAGCCAUUCCGCGUGAGUGAAGAAGGCCUUCGGGUUGUAAAGCUCUUUCGCAAGGGAAGAAAACUUAUGAUCGAAUAAAUCAUGAGGUUGACGGUACCUUGAUAAGAAGCACCGGCUAACUACGUGCCAGCAGCCGCGGUAAUACGUAGGGUGCGAGCGUUAAUCGGAAUUACUGGGCGUAAAGCGUGCGCAGGCGGUUUUGUAAGUCGGAUGUGAAAUCCCCGGGCUCAACCUGGGAACUGCGUUCGAAACUGCAAGGCUAGAGUGUGUCAGAGGGGGGUAGAAUUCCACGUGUAGCAGUGAAAUGCGUAGAGAUGUGGAGGAAUACCAAUGGCGAAGGCAGCCCCCUGGGAUAACACUGACGCUCAUGCACGAAAGCGUGGGGAGCAAACAGGAUUAGAUACCCUGGUAGUCCACGCCCUAAACGAUGUCAACUAGUUGUUGGUAGAGUAAAAUCUAUGAGUAACGUAGCUAACGCGUGAAGUUGACCGCCUGGGGAGUACGGUCGCAAGAUUAAACGUUCAAAGGAAUUGACGG